AUGGUGACCACACUGAUCAUGCAGCUCGUGCUGCUGUUACUACUGCCAGUGACUCGAGUCUCAGCUCAGGAGCAGCAGCAUCCACCCCCGCAGGUUGCGCGGCCAGGCUGCCGCGACAAGUGCGGCAACAUCACCAUCCCUUACCCCUUUGGCAUCGGCGCCGGUUGCUUCCGCGACGAUGGCCGAGGUGGCUUCCAGCUCGAGUGCAAUGACGCCCGCUCAACACCACGGCUCACCGUGACAGGCUAUGGCAUCCGGAUCACCGGCCUGUCGGUCGCCAGCAGUGAAGCCAGGGCCCACCUGAGGGCAACACGUCGAUGCUACGACAGCAAAGGGCGUCUCGUCAGCCAGAGCGGCGCCACGUUUGUACCACUUGUUGGCAGCCACUACCUCUUCUCCCAGGCCAGGAACCGGCUCGUCACGCUCGGCUGCUCCAGCCUCGGCUACUUCAUCGACGCUCUUGGCUACUAUGUCAGUGGCUGCAUGGCCGUGUGCCGGCCACAGCAGUUCACCACGCCGGGGUCCUGCACGGGCGUGGCAUGCUGCCAGAGCGCGAUACCCCCUGCUGUCGACUACUACGAGCCGUUCCUGCUUGACUUCACGAAGGAGCACCGAGACAGAGACAUAGCCUUCUAUAGCAACAAAACGACCUGCCGGUAUGUGUUCCUGGUAGAGACCAAGUGGUUAAGUACAAGAUACACCGGUGACAGCGAGUACCUCAACUGGACCAAAGACUUUGCCGUGCCUGUCAUCCUCGACUGGGCGAUCCGGAACGUUGGCAACUGCAGCGCCGCCAGGCGCAACACAACUGACUAUGCGUGCCAGAGCAUGCUCAGCGAUUGUAUCGACUCCGAAGAUGGCACUGGGUACCGGUGCAACUGCUCAAAGGGGUACGAGGGCAACCCCUAUCUACAAGACGGAUGCAGAGACAUCGACGAGUGUAAACACAAAGAAGAGCAAUCAUGCUACGGCAUCUGCACAAAUACUCAGGGAAGCCACACCUGCCAAUGUCCUCCGGGGACUAGUGGAGAUGCUACGACGGAGAACGGUUGCCGGCCAAAGGACAAUUUCACAUUGGCCCUAAAAGUAGUAACAGGAGUGAGCGUUGGUGUGUUCUUGCCAUUUUUCAUGUCCUUCUGGCUCUACUUGGGGCUCCAGAAAAGGAGACUUAUCAGAACAAAGCAGAAAUUCUUUGAGCUAAAUGGAGGCGUAUUCCUGCAGCAGCAGAUACGUAACUACAGUGACACCAGCAAAGGGGGUGGGGGGUUCAAGAUCUUCUCCAAGGAAGAGCUCGAGAAAGCGACCAACAACUUCGCAGCCGGCCGUGUUCUUGGCCACGGAGGGCACGGUAUUGUCUACAAGGGUGUCCUUGAGGACAAGACAGUGGUGGCGGUCAAGAAGUCAAAGACGACGGAAGAGGUCCCUACCAAGGAAUUCGCGAGGGAGAUGUUCAUCCUCUCCCAGAUCAACCACAAGAAUGUCGUCAAGCUGCUUGGAUGCUGCCUCGAAGUAGAAGUGCCAAUGUUGGUCUACGAGUUCGUCUCAAAUGGUACACUCUACCACUACAUCCAUGGUAGUAGGGGCCUUGACUCUGAUACAGGCUUCGACACCUGCCUUCGAAUAGCAGUAGAGGCAGCCGAGGCACUGGCAUACAUGCACUCUUCAGCCUCGCCACCGAUUCUCCAUGGAGACGUCAAGACGGCAAACAUUCUGUUGGAUGACAAGCUCACAGCAAAAGUUUCAGAUUUCGGAGCAUCAAAACUGGCACCAACUGAUGAGGCCAAGAUGGCAACAUUGGUGCAGGGAACUUGCGGUUACCUUGACCCAGAAUACCUAAUGACAUGCCGGCUGACUGAUAAGAGUGAUGUGUACAGCUUUGGCGUUGUCCUAUUGGAGCUUCUGACAAGGAAAAAGGCACUGUACUUCGACGGGCCAGAGGAAGAUAGAAGCCUUGUUUUAUGCUUCAUGAUGGCAGUGAAGGUAGGCCAGCACCAAGACCUUCUGGACAGCCAAGUGAGGGACGAGAUGACAAUCGAAGCGCUCGAAGAGAUCACACACCUCGUUAUGGGAUGCUUGAACAUGAGUGGAGCGGAGCGGCCAACGAUGAAGGAGGUUGCAGAGAGGUUGGAGAUGCUGAGGAGAUACCACAACCACCCGUGGGCUCAAGCAGAUGCCAAUCCAGAGGAGGAACAAAGUUUGCUUGCUAUGGAACGACAUAAUGUGAAUUACAAGUUCACACAAGAUUGUGUCCUUGAUUUUGAAGCAAGCAGUACAUACAGCUAUAGCUUGUAG
rnacentral:rRNA from 1 species